AUAAGCCCGCUUGACUGCGAGAAUGACAAUUCGAGCAGGUGCGAAAGCAGGUCAUAGUGAUCCGGUGGUUCUGAAUGGAAGGGCCAUCGCUCAACGGAUAAAAGGUACUCCGGGGAUAACAGGCUGAUACCGCCCAAGAGUUCAUAUCGACGGCGGUGUUUGGCACCUCGAUGUCGGCUCAUCACAUCCUGGGGCUGAAGUCGGUCCCAAGGGUAUGGCUGUUCGCCAUUUAAAGUGGUACGCGAGCUGGGUUUAGAACGUCGUGAGACAGUUCGGUCCCUAUCUGCCGUGGGCGUUGGAAGAUUGAAGGGGGCUGCUCCUAGUACGAGAGGACCGGAGUGGACGAACCUCUGGUGUUCGGGUUGUGUCGCCAGACGCAUUGCCCGGUAGCUAAGUUCGGAAUCGAUAACCGCUGAAAGCAUCUAAGCGGGAAGCGAGCCCUGAGAUGAGUCUUCCCUG
rnacentral:rRNA from 1 species